rfam:Schistosoma margrebowiei strain Zambia genome assembly, scaffold: SMRZ_contig0009940
AUUCAACUGACGAGUCCUAAAUAGAAAGAUACGCAUGUCCUGGAU